rnacentral:rRNA from 1 species
UACGUAGGGGGCAAGCGUUGUCCGGAUUUAUUGGGCGUAAAGGGUGCGUAGGCGGUUCCGCAAGUCCGUGUGUGAAAUCUUCGGGCUCAACUCCGAAGUCUGCACGGGAAACUGCGGGGCUUGAGUGUGGGAGAGGUGAGUGGAAUUCCACGUGUAGCGGUGAAAUGCGUAGAGAUGUGGAGGAACACCAGUGGCGAAGGCGACUCUUUGGUCUGUAACUGACGCUGAGGCGCGAAAGCGUGGGGAGCAAACAGG